rnacentral:misc_RNA from 1 species
AAGGGUACAAGCAUCAGAUUAUAGGAGAGAACUUCUGAAUAUACUCUUCUGCAGGUUGCCAUUGUGUCUUUCAUCUAGUCUUUAUCCUUCUUGUUUCAUCAGUACUAUUUUAAAGUCUGUUGUAAAAUGGCUGAAUUUUUCUUCCUAAAUGCUUUUCUAUUUUGCUGAAGGCUUCAAGCUUGGUUGUUCAUUUCUUUGGAGCUGGGACUCUGACAUACCUGUAGUUAGUAAAUUAAUUGCCACUUGAUCAUGCCAUUUUUAGAUGUUCUCUUUUGAAUAUAAAU